rnacentral:rRNA from 1 species
GACGAACGCUGGCGGCGUGCUUAACACAUGCAAGUCGAACGAAGAGCGAUGGACGCUUGCUUCUAUCAAUCUUAGUGGCGCACGGGUGAGUAACGCGUAAUCAACCUGCCCUUCAGAGGGGGACAACAGUUGGAAACGACUGCUAAUACCGCAUACGAUCUAAUCUCGGCAUCGAGGAUAGAUGAAAGGUGGCCUCUACAUGUAAGCUAUCACUGAAGGAGGGGAUUGCGUCUGAUUAGCUAGUUGGAGGGGUAACGGCCCACCAAGGCGAUGAUCAGUAGCCGGUCUGAGAGGAUGAACGGCCACAUUGGGACUGAGACACGGCCCAGACUCCUAAGGGAGGCAGCAGUGGGGAAUCUUCCGCAAUGGACGAAAGUCUGACGGAGCAACGCCGCGUGAGUGAUGACGGCCUUCGGGUUGUAAAGCCCUGUUAAUCGGGACGAAAGGCCUUCUUGCGAAUAGUGAGAAGGAUUGACGGUACCGGAAGAGAAAGCCACGGCUAACUACGUG